CUGAUCCAGCCAUGCCGCGUGUGUGAAGAAGGCCUUUUGGUUGUAAAGCACUUUAAGCGGGGAGGAGGCUCUCUUGGUUAAUACCUGAGAAAAGUGGACGUUACCCACAAAAUAAGCACCGGCAAACUCUGUGCCAGCAGCCGCGGUAA
rnacentral:rRNA from 1 species